CGUAAUGCUUUAUGGAACUUGCMUGUUGUCACUUUGAAGAGUGAGGACUGAGAAAAUGAAGAUUCAUUAACGCUCUAACGGCGGAUGUCGGACAACUCGUACAGUGAAGGAGGCUGCUCCCGUCACCAUCCGCAUGCUCGGGCUGGGAUACCUGCCCUGCCUUGCCUUGCCUUCCGAGCAGC